rnacentral:rRNA from 1 species
GAUGAACGCUGGCGGCGUGCCUAAUACAUGCAAGUCGAGCGAACGGACGAGAAGCUUGCUUCUCUGAUGUUAGCGGCGGACGGGUGAGUAACACGUGGAUAACCUACCUAUAAGACUGGGAUAACUUCGGGAAACCGGAGCUAAUACCGGAUAAUAUUUUGAACCGCAUGGUUCAAAAGUGAAAGACGGUCUUGCUGUCACUUAUAGAUGGAUCCGCGCAGCAUUAGCUAGUUGGUAAGGUAACGGCUUACCAAGGCAACGAUGCAUAGCCGACCUGAGAGGGUGAUCGGCCACACUGGAACUGAGACACGGUCCAGGCUCCUACGGGAGGCAGCAGUAGGGAAUCUUCCGCAAUGGGCGAAAGCCUGACGGAGCAACGCCGCGUGAGUGAUGAAGGUCUUCGGAUCGUAAAACUCUGUUAUUAGGGAAGAACAUAUGUGUAAGUAACUGUGCACAUCUUGACGGUACCUAAUCAGAAAGCCACGGCUAACUACGUG